rnacentral:rRNA from 1 species
GAUGAACGCUGGCGGCGCGCCUAACACAUGCAAGUCGAACGAUUAAAGCACCUUCUUGUGUGUAUAAAGUUGCCAACGGCUGAGUAACACGUGGGCAACCUGCCCCUUUCAUUGAGAUAGCUACCUUAAACAGUGGGGAAUACCUAAUACUUCGAGACUUCCGCAUGGUGGACUCGUAAAAACCCCGGCUGAUGGGGUUGGGUCUGCGGCUUGUUACGUUGUUGGUGCUGGAACGGCCUGCCAAGGCAAUGAUGGGUAGCUGGGUGUAGAGGACGUCCAGCCACAUUGGGCCUGAGACACGCACCAGACUCCAACGGGCGGCAGCAGUGGAGAAUCUUGCACAAUGGGGGAAAGCCUGAUGCAGCGACGCCGCGUGCGGGAUGAAGGCCUUCGGGUUGUAAACCGAUUUCAGCAGGGACGAGGCGAAAGUGACGGUACCUGCAGAAGAAGCCCCGGCUAACUACGUG